CUCAGUCAUCUAUCUGUGCAGAUGUUAGACUCUAGCCAGUGGAUUUGCAAGUGAGCACUGGAAAAGCACAAGACUGGAGUGAGGCUUCAUUGAAAAUCAGUCCCAGCUGAGAUGCCAAGAUUUAGAUGACCUAAGCCUUAUGAAUUGGAGCAGUGCCUGAAAAAUCUCUGAGACUUUGAUUAUCUCCAGGCGACUAUUUUACUCUAUGGGUGGCCUAAAAUGAAUCCUUCAGAACUGGUGACUUCAGGAUGAAACAAAGAGGAAGAGGAAAAAGAGCAGGGUAAGGGGGGAGAACCCUAUCUGGAGGUGCACAUCAAAAAUUUGCUCCACUAUAUUUGGGAGUCAUAGAAGACAUCCUGGCAUCCUUCACUGGAAAAGUAAAAGGACAACAAUUUGUUUCAUGAAAAAGGUGUCUCAGCCAACCAUGG